rnacentral:rRNA from 1 species
AACAGGAUUAGAUACCCUGGUAGUCCACGCCCUAAACGAUGUGUGCUAGUUGUUAGUCCCUCAGGGAUUAGUGACGCAGCUAACGCGUUAAGCACACCGCCUGGGGAGUACGGCCGCAAGGUUAAAACUCAAAGAAAUUGACGGGGACCCGCACAAGCGGUGGAGCAUGUGGUUUAAUUCGAAGCAACGCGAAGAACCUUACCAACCCUUGACAUCCUUAUCGCGCUUUCCAGAGAUGGAUCGCUUCAGUUCGGCUGGAUAAGUGACAGGUGCUGCACGGCUGUCGUCAGCUCGUGUCGUGAGAUGUUCGGUUAAGUCCGGCAACGAGCGCAACCCCUAUUUCCAGCUACCAUCAUUAAGUUGGGGACUCUGGCAAAACUGCCCGUGACAAGCGGGAGGAAGGUGGGGACGACGUCAAGUCAUCAUGGCCCUUACGGGUUGGGCUACACACGUGCUACAAUGGCGGUGACAAUGGGUAUUAGUCCGCAAGGAGGAAAUAACCCCUAAAAACCGUCUCAGUUCGGAUUGCACUCUGCAACUCGAGUGCAUGAAGCUGGAAUCGCUAGUAAUCGUGAAUCAGCAUGUCGCGGUGAAUACGUUCCCGGGUCUUUGUACACACCGCCCGUCAAGCAAUGGGAGUUGGUUCUACCCGAAGAUGGUGCGCUAAACCUUUUAGGAGGCAGCCAGCCACGGUAGGAUCAGCGACUGGUGCUAAGUUCGUAACAAGGUAACC